AUUCUUUUCCCCCUCCCUUUGUUUCUUUUCUGUCGGCUUUACUGUCGUCUUUGAACAGUAUCAAAUCCUUCCUCCACUAUUUUCUCUGCUCUCCUUCCCUUACCCAACACCCCCCUCCUCCCCUCUGUCACUCUGUCCCUCACUGUUGUCUCCUACUAUUACGAUCACAACAAGAUUAUAUUAGUUGGUAAGCAGCAGCAGCAUCAGAGGAAGAAGCAAAGCUUUAUAAGAGAGAGAGAGAGAGAGAGAGAGAGUUGAGUCGUUCGUUGCUGGGGAGGGGAGGGGAGGGGAGGGGAGGAGAAGGGAGAGGGGGGCUUCCAUGACGGUCGAGAACGAGAGCCAUCGACACCACCACCAACUCUUGCCGCCUCUGCAACCUCAAAGACGCAUCCCUUCGUCCACGUGCGACCUGCACCCGGGCGAGACGGUCACCGGCUUCUGCGCCUCCUGCCUCCGCGAGCGCCUCGCGGGGCUCGAGGGACCUGCCGCAGCCUCCGGCCGUAGGUCCACCUCUGCCCUCCGAUCCGUCUUCUCCAUGGUCACCGUCGGCGCGGGCCCUGCCGCCGGGCCGUCCUCCCUCCGCCGCUCCAAGUCCUUCUCGUUCAGCCGUGGCGGCGACGUCUUCUCGGCGCAGCGGCCCCGCGCAUCCGCCUUGGAACCCCAGCGCAGGUCCUGCGACGUCCGCGGCCGCAGCACCCUUUGGUCCCUCUUCCAUCAGGACGACCGGGACAGGGUGGGUCAGAACCCUUCCAUCCCACCCUUCUCCUCCUCCUCCUCCUCUUCCUCCACCUCAACCUCCUCCGCGGCGGCGGCGGCGACGGCGCCGUCCACGAGCGGAGCGAUCGAGGUGGACUGCCGGAACCAAGGGCUUCCGGGCCCCUCCCUCGCUCCUCCAGUUUCCGGAACAUGCGAAGAGUAUGAGAUCGGCCAUGAGAUCAGGCCCAUUGGAACCUCGGGGGAGAUAAAUGAGGAAGGAAAGGGAGCAGCGGAGGAGGAGAUGGAGCUGAAGCCGAUGAAGGACCACAUAAAUCUCGACUCCGAGCAGCAGCAGCAGCAUCAGGCGAAGAAGCCACCGCAAAAGGACUUCAAGGAGAUCGCCAGCAGCGUCUGGCUCGCCGCCUCCGUCUUCAGCAAAAAGCUCCAGAAAUGGCGGAGAAGACAGAAGCCAAAGAACCAAGGUGGCGAAGCGACAAUGCCGGCGGAGGAACCCCCUAAAACGUCGCGGCGGUUCCACGACACGCAGUCGGAAGUCGCCAUGGACUGCUCCGGCCGAAGAUCCUGCGACACCGACCCCCGCUUCUCUCUGGACGCCGCCCGGAUGUCCAUCGACGACCCCAGGUUCUCCUGGGACGAGCCGAGGGCCUCAUGGGACGGCUACCUGAUCGGAGGCCGAUCAGUGUUCCCUCGUCUCCCUCCCAUUCUCUCCGUCGUCGAGGACGCCCCUGCCCCGGCAGUCCAGCGGUCGGACUACCUUAUCCCCGUCGAGGCAGAUGCCGCCAUCCCAGGCGGGUCGGCACAGACCCGGGACUACUACUUGGAUUCAUCCAGCCAGCGCCGGCGAAGCCUUGACCGAUCGAGCUCCAUCAGGGAGCAGCCUGUCGAGAUCAGUGAGCCAAAGCCGGUCUCCAACAGCAGAGUAUCCCCUGCAGGCGGCAUGGACUUCUUCCCCUUCCACCAUGGUGCCUCACUUGAGCGGGAGGUAAAAGAUUGGAGCUCAAAUUCCCUGAGAGAUGAUUACUCCGGCAGUUUUGAGUCAGCUUUUAGGGACCUUAACAAAGGUGCUUCCGCGAAGAAGUCAAGCAGGUGGAGCAAAGCAUGGAACAUUUGGGGGCUUCUUCAGCGAAGAAAUAGUAGCAGAGGAGAAGCCAAUAUGGUUGACAGAUCCUUGUCGGAGUCAUGGCCGGAGCUGCGGUGCAAGAGCACCAAUGGCAGGAUUCUAAGGAGUAACAGCAGUGUAAGCUCGAGGGUCUCUUCUCAUGCCAAUGCUGGGUAUGGGGUGAUGAGAACGAGCAGCAUGAGGUCCAGUGGGAAUGAUAAGAAGAAGAGUAGAGAUGAACCCGUUCUGGAGAGGAAUAGAAGUGCUAGAUAUUCUCCAAACCAUAUUGAGAACGGUAUGCUGCGGUUUUACUUGACACCAAAGCGAAAUGCACGGAGGAAUGGAGUUUCAGCUAGCCGAAGGCAGAUGAUGCCUUCGCCUUACCUUGCAAGAAGCAUGCUAGGACUGUAUUGAUCUGACUGUUGAACUCUAUCAGGGGCUCAACUUUUCACCUUUGAUCAAGAUACUUCCUACAAUUCAACAAAAUCUUUAUGUGCACUUAAUUGUUGGCAUAAAUGUUGUCCUUGUUGACAUGUGAGCAUACUGCUGCAUGCUCUUUAUUGUCCCCACAGACAAGAUUAUGCACUAACGGAAGAAGAUUAUGUUGACAUAUGAGCAUUCUGCAAAAUCUUUAUGUGCACUAAAGGAAGAUUAUGCACUUUAUUGUCCCCAUCAUGCUUAGGGCUUUCAGGACAUGAACAUGUACUAUAACAUUUGUGGCAAAAGCCUCUCCUGCAUGUUAUGCUGGCCCCAUCAUUUUAUUUAGUUUAAAUCAAUUCAGUCCAACAGUCAUCUUUCUCAAGCAUGGAACUCACUUUGCUCAUUGUCUUGGAUGCCCUUUACACUGGUCCACCCCCAAAAUAUAUCACAAACAGCUGGAAAGGAGCCAAUUUGAAGAUUGAAGACUGCAGCACACUUCAGAAGGUCGAACCUACUAAAAGGGAUCGAAGUGGGAUGAUAUCUAAGAAGAUAGGAUUCAUCAGCUGGAUUGUACUCUUGCCUUGUUUGUUCAUGAACCUCCACUGCCAAGUUAUUAGAUUUUGUUUGGGACAAAUUUGAAGUCAGCUUGAUGGUGAACACUAGUAACAUGAAAAGUGUCAAAUGAUGCUGUGCACUCUACUAGGAGACCACUAUGGGGAGUUCAUCAAUUGAUUGUUCGGAUAAGAGGUUUUAGAGUGACAGCAUUCCUUGUAGUCAGUAGAUGAGUGUCAAGGUUUUUUAGUUUCUAGUGGAAUUUUUUAAAGUUCUACGAA